rnacentral:misc_RNA from 1 species
AACACUGUUAACCUGCGGUACCUGCGGAGGGAUCAUUGCUGGAACGCGCUUCGGCGCACCCAGAAACCCUUUGUGAACUUAUACCUAUUUGUUGCCUCGGCGUAGGCCGGCCUCUUCACUGAGGCCCCCUGGAAACAGGGAGCAGCCCGCCGGCGGCCAACUAAACUCUUGUUUCUGUAGUGAAUCUCUGAGUAAAAACAUAAAUGAAUCAAAACUUUUAACAACGGAUCUCAGAUCGGA